GCAAGAAAAAAAAGGCUUCAAAGAAAAAGAAGACAAAGUUUUCAACUUUGAAUGUAUUCGCGUUCGCGCUCUUUUGUUGUUCGAUUUUGAAUCUGUUUUUCGCUCUGAAACAAAACAAUCCUAACAACAACAACAACAACAACGAAGGUUUGGGC
rnacentral:ribozyme from 1 species